UACGGAGGGUGCGAGCGUUGUCCGGAAUCACUGGGCGUAAAGGGCGCGUAGGUGGCGCGGGCAGUCAACGGUGAAAGUUCGGGGCUCAACCCUGAAUCGGCCGUCGAUACUCCCGGGCUUGAGCACUGUAGAGGCAGAUGGAAUUCCGGGUGGUAGCGGUGGAAUGCGUAGAGAUCCGGAAGAACACCGGUGGCGAAGGCGGUCUGCUGGGCAGUAGCUGACACUGAGGCGCGACAGCGUGGGGAGCAACAGG
rnacentral:rRNA from 1 species